rnacentral:tRNA from 1 species
GAGGGCGGAGCUCAGUGGUAGAGCGCGUGCUCAGCACGCACGAGGUCUUGGGUUCAACCCCAGCACAUCCUCU